UCUCUUCUAAAUCUCUAAACAAGCUUUUUAUCUAAUACAUCACACACAACUCCUAUUUUUAAGCCUUAAAUCACGUUGACAUUGUUUUAGAUAAGGAAAAUUAUGUUUUCCUUAAAACAAAUGUUAUUAAAUCAUCAAUCAUUAAGUAAUAAAAAUUAACAAUAAAUUCAACAAUUAUUAAUUCUCAUCGACAAAAUUUCAAAAAAAAAAACAAAAAAAACUGGGAUUUGUAGACACAAUGGAAACAUCUUGGAUCAAUACAUUCGACGAAUUAAGGACCAAGAGCCUAAGAAACAUCUUGCGUUUCUUUUAAAGGAAAUAAACGAUUGGAGAAGAAAUUAGUUUUGGAAGAUUGUGAUAAAUGAAGAUUGAUUUGAUUAUUCAAGUUUCAAAUAAUGAAGUUGUUGAGGAUUUUAUGUAAUUAAAUGGAAAAAAUCUUAAAUUUAGUGUGUUAAUUCUCAAUCAUAGGCACUUUUAACGUUUUUUCCUUUUUUAUCUCAAACUAAUUGGUUAGUAGUGUAUCAUAAGCUUAUUUAUGGGAGGUUAAAUAAUGUAUCAUAUCCGGAAUAUCAUGUAAUUAAUAGAAAAAUUGGAAAAGAAGGUCAUUAGAUGGCG